rnacentral:lncRNA from 1 species
UCAAGUUAUAACUAAAACAUUUUACCACAUUAGUUCAAUUAUAAGGCUUCUCUAAAUAAAAUGAGCAAGCCAUAUUCGCAUGGCUAUAAUGUAAACAAAGUCGAAAUAUCAUUCUACCUAUAGUCUAUCCUAUACAUGCCUUAAACCAUGAUGAUAUACAAUCUUCUCAACUCACAUAAUGACUCGAUAGUGUGAUGAUAUCUCUCGCCCUUCCAACUCGAGCUAAAGUAUAAACCUAUAAGAAAUGGAAAAGAGAACACAGUAAGCUUCAAUGCUUAGUAAGUUUUAAGCAAUGCAAACAAUUAAUUUACUUAUAGAUCGAUUAUUUAUAAUUUUCAAGAAAUCAUUCCUAGAUAAUUGCCAUUUUGGCCAAGUAUCCAUGAACAUAAUGCAUAUUUAGCAAAUUCACCUCACUUGAAUCUGAACUCAAUUAAAACCAAAUAUUUAAAUCACAAAUAAGAUCAUAAGAACUCGAAAAGCAUCUCAUUAACAAGUUUUAACCAUGUUUGCAACAAAAUCACAAAUUCACUACAAGUUGUCUUCCUGAGCAACAGUCACUAAAUUAUUUAUAACUGGAGAUAAGAAACUCCAAAUCAAGUGCCAUUAAUUUUCCCUGAAAAUAGACUCAUAUAUCUUCUAUCCAUCAAAUUUUCAUAAUUUUUUGUUUGAUCAAUCAAUACCAUAUUUUUAUUGAAGUUUCCCCUAUUUCACUGUUUGACUAUUCUAACCACUCUUCACUACGAAUCAAUUUUCUCAUUAUACAGAAUUCGAAAUAUGUUAUCGUUUAUUUCAUUUGAAAUUAGACUCAUUAAGGAGUCUAAGAAUAUAAAUUUUAUCUUAUAACCAUUUUUUUACCAUUUAUAAUGAUUUUUUGAAAACGGAACAGGAGACCUCGAAGUCAUUUUGACUCUAUUCCAUGCCACUUCAAAUAUCUCAUUAUUGGAAAUUCUUUUGCUUACACGGUUUCUUUUAUAAGAAACUAAACUCAUUAAUAUUUUGUGACAUAAUUUAUUCAGCCUCUAACUCAACUCCCACAAUUUAUGGUGAUUUUCCGAAAUCACAUUACUGUUGCUGUCCCAAGCAGAUUUAUUACCCAUUCUUUGCAUUCAUAUUAUUUAACAUGUAUAUCACCAAAUCAAUCUCAUAUAACCUUUCACCAUAACCGAAUACACACAUACACAUAUGAGAUUUUCACAUAUACUUCUCAUUUCGCAUUCAUGAUUCAAUUCCGAUCAAUCUAACAUAUAAAAGUAUAUAAUACAUACCUGACCAACUUAAUGUAUUGAACAUAUUCAAUGGUAGUUUACUACGAACAUUCGAAAUCAAAAUCUUACUCCAAUCAUCGGCAUUAAGUCUGCUAGGUUUAAAACCCAAAUCCAAUCACCACCACAAAGCAUGCGGGACUUUAAGCCCGGAUAUAAUACCAGUACAAAGCCUGCGGGACUUUAGCCCGAAUAUAAUACCAGCACAAAGCCUGCGGGACUUUAGCCCGGAUAUAGCACCAGCACGAAUGCCUUCGGGACUUAGCCCGGAUAUAACACCAGCACGAAUGCCUUCGGGACUUAGCCCGGAUAUAACACCAGCACGAAUGCCUUCAAGACUUAGCUCGGAUAUAAUUCUCCAUUAUCAUGCACAUAUAUAUCAUAACACAUUAGCAUUUCAUUUACAUUACUUGAACACAAGCAUAACAUGCUUAUCAACCAUUCCACUUUCGGCUCAAUAGCCACAUACAAAGAACACGAUUUCGUUUCGCUAUCCAACAUGAUUUCUAUAACCAUUCGGCUAUAAGUCAUAUGCACAAAUUAUUUAUCCCACUACGUAAUUCAAGUAGAACCAAUAGGUCACAAUUUAUUUAUUAUGCUUAUAUACUAUGAUUUUAUCAAAUCAUAGGCUAAGUUUCAUUACUCAAAGACUUACCUCGGAUAUUUUGAACAGUUGUGGAUAGGCUACUCGAUUGCUUCCUCCUUUCCCUUAUCUGAUUUAGUUCCUCUUUGCUCUUGAGCUUUAAAUUUAAAUAAAUGAAUUUGUUUAAUUACUUACUCAACUUUAAUUCUAUAAUAGUCACAUUUGACAAUCAUAUAAUUUCAAUGCAUAUUAUGUUUUAUAAAAUAUGCCAUGACUCGAUUUCAUGCUUAUUAUAUCAAUAGCUAAUUCGCAUACUCAAACAAAGAUUCACAUAACUUACCAUGCUACCUUAUACAUGAAUUCAACCAUAUAUACGAAUAUCAACUUAUUAAACAUUUAUCACAUUUCCACUUGCUAUUUAUCAAUAAUGCCGCACACACACAAAUACAUACAUACUCAUAUGCAUGCAACCCAUUUUUGAUUAAUAUAUAUCCCAUUUAGCCCUAACUACUCAAUUUAACCUUCAUAUUCAAAUUUAUAGGUAAUGCCGAAUGCCCAAACUUAAUCAAUCUCAAAAUUUAGCUUUUAUCACUUUAAUUAACUACUACUUAUUCUUCCAAAACCUCAAAUACAAGGUAUUUAGCACUUAUACACUUAUACCGAAUUAGCAAGCUGUAACACCCCUCGCCUACAUCCGACGCCUGGACAGGGUUCGAGGUGCUACCUGACUUUUACUAACACUUCCAUACUAAACAGGGCCAUGAAAUCUCAAAUAAUUAAAAACUUUUCUUUUCACAUGCAAUUUGUCCUUUAUGCGAGCUUACGAGGCCCAAUACAUGCAUUCGGGGUGGUUCGGGAGCCAACCGAGAACUCAUGAAAAACUUAGGAAAUCUCUUGUAUCAAGGAUCCACAAGCCCGUGUAGGUAUAGAACACACGCCCGGGUGCUAAGGACACGCCCAUGUCCCGAACCCAUGUCCAAAACCUGGACAAAUAAGGCUAUUUUCCAAGCCAUUUUGUCACACUCACAACACAUGCACGCAUACUUAUACACUAGCAUACAACAUGGCAAAAUUAGGCACUUAAACCUUUCUAACAUGACAUGACCAUGGUAAUUUCACAUGCAACCAUUACAAUAAGUUUUUCUUUCAUCUUUACCAUAUUAAUGCUAUAGCUAUCAACAUGUCAUCAAACCUCAUGUCCAUCACAAAGCAUGCAUAAUCAUAUCCAGAAACCAUUUUAAUGAAGCAUUAUUAACUAUUUACCAAUCACUUAAUCCUGCAUUAGUUAUUAGCUCAUCAAUGAAUCUCAAUUCAAUCUCUAGGCAUACAUGUUGUAAGCCACAUCACAAGAGAUAAUAACAUACAUGCAUAAGAAUAAUCAUAUGGGCCCAUAACGAUAUUAGCCGACAUAGGCCAAUUUACAUGACUAAUACUACCUUAAUAACAAGCCAAUGCCUUUGGCUAAAUCAUAAUAUUACAUACUCACAUUAAAACCCUAUACAUGCCAUAGACUAGAAUCACUUGAGUUUACUUACGCCGAUAGCGUUAACUCGACAGUGUGAUAAUAUCUCUGACGGCCUCCAACCCGAGCUAACCUGGAAACUCUAGAAAACAUGGGAAAGAAGGGGGGUAAGCUUUCACUUAGUAAGUUCAUAUGAAAACAAUAAGCAACUCAUUAACUUGUUUUAUCAAUGUUUACAACAUAUUCUCAAGUUCACUGCAAGCUGUCUUCCUGAGCAAUAGUUACUAAAUUAUUUAUAUCUGGAGCUACAAAACUCCAAAUUAAGUUCCGUUAAUUUUCCCUGAAACUAAACUCAUUUUCCUUUCUUGCAUAAAAUUUUCAGAAUUUUUGGUUAAUCCAAAUAGUACAUUUUAUUCCUCAAAGUUACCCCUGAUUCACUGUCUAACAGUUCCAACCCUUCUGUACUAAAGUUCAAUUAUCUCAUGGUACAAGACUCGAAUAAUGUUCUCGUCUAUUUCUAUUGAAACUAGACUCAUAUGUCUACUUACUAAUUGUUUUCUAGAAUUUUUGGUUGGGCCAAUUAGUACAGUUUAUUAGUUAAAGUCUCCCCUGUUUUAGGGUAUGACCACUCUGACUCCUGUGCACUACAAACCGAAUUUCUCCCUGUACAAAAUUCUAACGACCAUGGCGUUUAUUUCCCAUAAAAAUAGACUCAAUAAGGAAUCCAUGCAUGUAAGGUAUGACUCUUAAUCAUUUUUGUACAAUUUUUGGUGAAUUUAUAAAUUCAGAACAGGGGAUCUCGAAUUCAUUCAGACCCUGUUUCACAAGAAUUCAAAUAUCACAUAAUAUGGAAUUCUUUUUCUUCCCCUGUUUCUUUCAUGUGAAAAUAGACUCAUUAAGCUUUAAUCCCAUAUUUUAUUCUGCCUCUAACUCAUUUUUCACUAUUUUUAAUGUAUUUUCAAAGUUACACUACUGCAGUAACUCAAAUCUAUCAAGGCUAAAUUACUCAUUCAUGAUCAUUGUUCACAAAAUUAAUACAACAUCGUUUGUAUAAUCAUCACCGAGACAUUUAUAUCACAUUUUCAUUUACCAUCUUACCAUAUUGUUGUUAUGUCGAGUUUUCAACCCGAGGGUUAAGUACAUACCUGUUCAAAGUAUCUAUUUCACAACAUUUACCAAUACGUCCCUUUCAUCUCGAGUAUUCCUCUAUUUGAGUAGAAUUUUACCCGUUGAACACAUCGGAAUAUAAUUCGGAUACAUGGAAAGUUUGCACAUAAGUGCCACAUAUGUAGCCAAGCUACCAUGUAACCCGCCCAUAAGUGAACUCGGACUCAACUCAACGAGCUCGGGCGUUCACAUCCAUAAGUGAACUCGGACUCAACUCAACGAGCUCGGAUGCCUAGUUACAUCUCACGAACUCGGACUCAACUCAACGAGUUCGAACAUUCGCAUCCAUAAGUGAACUCGGACUCAACUCAACGAGUUCGGAUGCUCAACCAUCCUAGUGACAUGUCACUUGUAUCCUAAUCUAUUCCUAAGGUUCGAACGGGAUUUUCCUCGAACACAUAUCCUUGCCAUCUUCCGUAAAAUACCGAAACCAAUACUCGGUAGCACUUUAUAUUUAACAGAUAAUACACAUAACUUGCAUUUUAUUCGAAAAUAACCACAAAGUAUAUAUUUCAUGAUAAAAAUCAGCAUAUCAUAUAUUUAACAUCAAUAACUUAAAAAUAACAAUUAUGCUACAUUAUUUACACAUGAACUUACCUCGAUACCACAAAGGUGAAAAAAAAAGGCGUAAUUAUCCCUUAAUCGAUUUCUUUCCGUUCUAGGUCAAAAUCUCGAUUUUCAUCAUCUAAAAUAUCACAUUCAACUUAUUAAAACAAUGUAUUGAUCAAAUUAGUCCAUUGACACACUUGGGCAAUUUUUACAAUUUUGCCCCUAUAUUUUGCCAAAAUUACCAAAUUACCCCUAGGCUCGUAAAAUAAUUUUUAUCAUAUUACUUUACUCCUUGAGUCUAGAUGAACCAUUUUCAUAACUAUAGCAACUCAUAAUUUCAACUAUUUCAUACAUUUACAACUCAUUUUACAACUUAGCAAUCUAGCCCUUUUUAAGGUGUUUUCAUGCAAUUUCUUUCACAAAAGCUGUUUAUUAAACAACUAGGACUCAUAAUCUUCCAUAAAAACACAGAAAACAACACAUUUAAUCUCAUGGAAAAAUCCUAGACUCUUCAUCAUUUUGCAAAAUAGACCCCUCAUAUGAAAGCUCAUGUUUUAGGGGUUCCAAAAAUGUAAAAAUCAUCAAGAAAGACAUUAAAAAUCACUUACUAGCAAGGGAUGCAAGUCGCUGAUAUUUCAGAGCUUCAAAACCCCUUUCUUUUUUUCCAUUUUCGGUGGAGGAGAAGAGAAAAAUGAUAGCUUUUUUUUAUUUGUUAAUAAUAAAACUAGUCAAAAUUGG